UAAGGAAUAUUGGUCAAUGGACGCAAGUCUGAACCAGCCAUGCCGCGUGGAGGAUGAAGGUCCUCUGGAUUGUAAACUUCUUUUAUCUGGGAAGAAAUCCAUUUUUUCUAAAAUGGUUGACGGUACCAGAUGAAUAAGCACCGGCUAACUCCGUGCCAGCAGCCGCGGUAAUACGGAGGGUGCAAGCGUUAUCCGGAUUCACUGGGUUUAAAGGGUGCGCAGGUGGGUAAGUAAGUCAGUGGUGAAAUCUCCGGGCUUAACCCGGAAACUGCCAUUGAUACUAUUUGUCUUGAAUACUGUGGAGGUCAGCGGAAUAUGUCAUGUAGCGGUGAAAUGCUUAGAUAUGACAUAGAACACCAAUUGCGAAGGCAGCUGGCUACACAAAUAUUGACACUGAGGCACGAAAGCGUGGGGAGUCAAACAGGGUUAGGAUACCCUGGUAGUCCACGCCUUAAACUA
rnacentral:rRNA from 1 species